rnacentral:rRNA from 1 species
AUGCAACGCGAAGAACCUUACCUGGUCUUGUACAUCCCGGAGACCCUUAGGAAACUAGGGGUGCUUCCAUCUGGAAGAAUCUGGAGACAGGUGCUGCAUGGCUGUCGUCAGCUCGUGUCGUGAGAUGUUGGGUUAAGUCCCGCAACGAGCGCAACCCUUGCCUUUAGUUGCCAGCAGUUCGGCUGGGCACUCUAAAGGGACUGCCGGUGUUAAACCGGAGGAAGGUGGGGAUGACGUCAAGUCCUCAUGGCCUUUAUGACCAGGGCUACACACGUACUACAAUGGCCGAUACAAAGGGCAGCGACACUGCGAGGUGAAGCCAAUCCCGUAAAAUCGGUCUCAGUCCGGAUUGGAGUCUGCAACUCGACUCCAUGAAGUUGGAAUCGCUAGUAAUCGUGGAUCAGCAUGCCACGGUGAAUACGUUCCCGGGCCUU